AUAAACAUAUUUUAUAAGCGGUCGCUGAAUUAUUCAUGUAUAAUUGGACUAGCCAUAUAAUUUGCGAAUUUUUGUUUGACUCAAAUUACUCAAAACUCUCUUUUCUCAUCUUCAUCCUUGGUUCUUUGACGUCUUUGACAGUUCUCUUCUCUUUGAAGUCUUCGGCAGUUCGACUCCUUUUCAAAACUUCUUUUCUAACUUUCUUCAUCUCUUAAAUCUUGAUCUCUUCUUCUCUUCUCUUUAGUCUUUCUUUUUAACUCUCUUUUUCAAGCUUUAAGCCCAAAAGUAAGACUUCAAGAGAAAUAUGGUGGGAUUACAAUGGGGAUGAUCUUCCUGUACUCAAGAAGUAUGCCAUUCGAAUUUUGAGUCAAUCUUGUAGCGUUUCAUCAUGUGAGAGAAAUUGGAGUGUUUUUGAAGCCCCUCAAAC